rnacentral:lncRNA from 1 species
UAAACACAAAAGUCUUGUUAGAAGACAUUUAUUUGGGAUGAGGAAAGGAAACUGAGGACAGGGUACAGGAGUAAUAGCAAUUCCCUGUAGCUCUCAAAGCAAAUUUUGAGCUCAUUUUUCUUUUUCUGCAAGCUCAGCAGCAGAAUGCCCAGAGUCUUCCCUGGUAGAUGCAGCAGAAUGCCCAGAGUCUUCCCUGGUAGAUGCAGGUUCCAUAGCGACGUUCUCCUGCAAUGCACGCUGGUAUUCUGCAAUAGCAGGCCAUAGUCUUCCCUGGUAGAUGCAGGUUCCAUAGCGACGUUCUCCUGCAAUGCACGCUGGUAUUCUGCAAUAGCAGUCCAUGUUUUUCCUUGAGCCUGGGACAGGGAGAGCAUGAGAAAUUGAGUAUGGAGUUA